rnacentral:rRNA from 1 species
GUUAUGUGUGACUACCCCCUAAAUUUUAAGCAU